rnacentral:rRNA from 1 species
AGCGAACGCUGGCGGCAGGCCUAACACAUGCCAGUCGAACGAACUCUUCGGAGUUAGUGGCGGACGGGUGAGUAACACGUGGGAACGUGCCUUUAGGUUCGGAAUAACUCAGGGAAACUUGUGCUAAUACCGAAUGUGCCCUUCGGGGGAAAGAUUUAUCGCCUUUAGAGCGGCCCGCGUCUGAUUAGCUAGUUGGUGAGGUAAAGGCUCACCAAGGCGACGAUCAGUAGCUGGUCUGAGAGGAUGAUCAGCCACAUUGGGACUGAGACACGGCCCAAACUCCUACGGGAGGCAGCAGUGGGGAAUCUUGCGCAAUGGGCGAAAGCCUGACGCAGCCAUGCCGCGUGAAUGAUGAAGGUCUUAGGAUUGUAAAAUUCUUUCACCGGGGACGAUAAGGACGGUACCCGGAGAAGAAGCCCCGGCUAACUUAGU